ensembl:lncRNA
CACCUCCCACGACACUGCUGGAUCUGUGCCGCAAGUCUGCCGCGAGGCUGUCCGUCUUUCACUGCGGAUACCGCGAGGGGAGGCCGAGGAAGACACCGAGAGAGUUUAUUCCUCACGGGCCGGGAGGGACAGAUGGGACUGGAGGUGGGACUACAGGGAAAGGAGAGUGAGCAGUCACGCCGCAUGACGACGCACUGCACGCCUGUAUAGAACAAACAGGCAAAGAAAUCCGUACCAGACCGGGAUGUGUGUAGCAAAUCACACGCUACAUGACAUGCAUCUGACGGGGAACAAGAGGAAUUUGUUACGCUCUAACACUUGAGAAAAGAUGGGAAGGAGAUGGAAGGAGGAGGAAAGAACACAAAUCUGAGAGAGGGAAUUGCCUAUUUUUUCAUCACAGAUUAUUUUAGGGGGUGAAUGCCAUUCCUGAGUUGACUAAAAACGAGCCAAACAAAAUAUGGAAUAUUCUGAAUUUACGAACUGCAUUGUGGUAGGAAAAAAAAAGCAGAAACAUGUGUGUCGCCCCCCCCCAUCACCCAGUCGCUGUUUGUUCCUUAAUGCAGCAGCUGGUAUUAGUCUCUCAAAAGGCCCGGCUGUGUCUGCCAUCCUACUUGCCUCACAUAUUCUUUUCUACGGCUUAUCAGUCGGAAAGCCAGGGGAGCUGUCCAGUCUCAUUCUCUCACUGGAGAGCACAUGUCAGGACCUAUUUGCCACUGGUUACUUUGAGAGUGACAUCAGCGAUGACCCCUUGACCCCGGCUGACGGAGAAAUGCUUCUGCAAUAGUUUUCCAUUACAGAGGCGAGAGAGCGCGGACACCAGACGGAUAUGUGAAAUGAGAAAAUAGGAAAACUGGAAAAGGCAUUUAGACCUGUAUUUGACCUAUCAUGUUUCGGCUUUCUGCGGCAGGCUUUUAUGAAAUGAGUAUUUGACCCAUUAACAAAUCCUUUGUCGUUUCUCUCGGAUGUUUUCCACGACCGCCAUGCGACGGCUAUUACAGAGGACAAAGCAGGGGUCAUCACAACGACACACAUAGCAGCGAUUCACUCGGCUUUCUCUUUUUUUUAGUGUCUUGAUGACGUGUAUCUGCUUGUCAGUCUGGCUAUGUGAGGAUCAGCCUCAGACGUAUCUGUAGAGUCUCGUAUUAAGGGACAAAUUGUUGCGACUGAGCUUUCGACAUGCCUCUCAACAGGUUGGAGACCAGCGUUUUUAUAUAGAUCUGAGCUGAGCUGAGUGGACGGCGAUGUUUGUUCAUCCAGGGGCACGCUGCUGCAGAUUGCCAUUGCAGCUUUUCAGUGCAACAAUGACUGUCGUCACACCAGCCGAAUCCCUUAUAGAUUUCAUUAUCUGAAAUAGAAGCAGUGAGGAUGAAAAGCACCUGUGAACAGAAUGUAACAGAAGCGUGAUAUCUCAGUAUUGAUCAUAUAUUAGCCUUUUUUAUUAUAAAUACAGCCAAAUAAUGUUGUUUUAAUAUUCGCUACAUUAAACUUGUCCUUCUAUUAAAACACCAGUUUGCCAUUUUUCUAAACGCAUUCAUCCGCUGUCUUCCAGAGAGUGAAAUGAUUACUAUCAGAUUAACAUCACUCUUGUGUCCGUACACAACAGCCCUAUUCUAAGUUUAGCAUUAUUAUUGGUUAAUGUUGAAAAAUCCGAUAUCGUGAAUCAAUGGUUCUGUUUUCUCUUUAUUUUUGGAUAAAAACGC